UGGGACUAAAGGACAGCCAAUACCAGACAAAGAGAAGAAUGCUACAGCUGGAAUCUGACAGCGACCUGUGUAACAUUCAGGCAGGGCCUCAGCGUUGCACACACAGCUUCCAGUUCAACAUGCCAUCAAAGCUGGGAUUGGCGGGACCGGGAUGCUCCGAACGAUGAGGCUACAAAGAGUGCAAGAGAAAAUACACUCUCAACCUGAUUAGAGGCAGCCAUGAACA